UGCUGUGGCAUUCAUCUGAAGCUUUGGGUAGUGCUGUGACGGAUCCGCGGUUCGGCUCGCAUGCGAUUUGCGGAUUAAUAUGCAAUUUAAAUAGGGUACGUUUAUCAUUAACGUGUUUCUAAGGCUUGCAAUUGUUUAAAUAGUUAAACAAUUUAACCGCAAAAAGGCGCUCAAGUGAGCAGAUUUCUGUACGCACAUGCGGUUCAGUGUAUCCGGUCCAGCUCCAGUCAGGUCCAGAGUUGCGCUACUUUGUGUCAUACUGUACUUGCCGAAUUGCGCGAUCCGAUCGGCGUAUGAAAUCAAAUUAAUACUAUAGCGGAUCUAGAAUGACUGGGGAGCAGACUGCUUUGGCGCCACAAGAACCCACAGGCAAGUGACAACAAAGUACCGCGAGAGCGAUUUCAGUUAUCACAUGGAGAAAUCUGCUUUGAAUCGCUCUCGCGGUACUUUGACAUCACCAAGAGGUCUGCUUAGCGCCAAAUGAACUCGAACCUGCAGUGUAGCUGCUCACGCGACACUGUAAACAAACAGGAAUUGUCCAUCUGGAGAAGUGAACGAGUGGAGCAGUGCUUCAACAUGAAAUCCGAGAGUUAACAACGCACAU